AUUGCUUCUCAGCCUUCUGGCUAAAAUCAAAGUAUCUGUUCUUAUCAGUUGAAUAUGUAAUACAGUAUGUUCUCUAUGUAAGGACACAGUGUGAAUCCAAUUUUGGAACCAGGAGUUGGAUACGAGGCUUGGUCCACCCACGACAUGCAUUGACCUGAUAUUGCAGGGCCCAGUGCAAUUUCC
ensembl:snRNA U2 U2 spliceosomal RNA